CGGGGUGCAGCAGGCGCGAAAACUUUACAAUGCGGGAAACCGUGAUAAGGGGACACCGAGUGCCAGCAUCACAUGCUGGCUGUCCAGGUGUGUAAAAUACACCUGUCAGCAAGGGCCGGGCAAGACCGGUGCCAGCCGCCGCGGUAACACCGGCGGCCCGAGUGGUGAUCGCGAUUAUUGGGUCUAAAGGGUCCGUAGCCGGUUUGGUCAGUCCUCCGGGAAAUCUGACGGCUCAACCGUUAGGCUUUCGGGGGAUACUGCCAGGCUUGGAACCGGGAGAGGUAAGAGGUACUACAGGGGUAGGAGUGAAAUCUUGUAAUCCCUGCGAGACCACCUGUGGCGAAGGCGUCUUACCAGAACGGGUUCGACGGUGAGGGACGAAAGCUGGGGGCACGAACCGGAUUAGAUACCCGGGUAGUCCCAGCCGUAAACGAUGCUCGCUAGGUGUCAGGCAUGGCGCGACCGUGUCUGGUGCCGCAGGGAAGCCGUGAAGCGAGCCACCUGGGAAGUACGGCCGCAAGGCUGAAACUUAAAGGAAUUGGCGGGGGAGCACAAGGGCGAUUCGCG
rnacentral:rRNA from 1 species